rnacentral:misc_RNA from 1 species
GGACUACUGGGGUAUCUAAUCCUGUUUGCUCCCCACGCUUUCGAGCCUCAGCGUCAAUAAUAGCUUAGUAAGCUGCCUUCGCAAUCGGUGUUCUGUGACAUAUCUAUGCAUUUCACCGCUACUUGUCACAUUCCGCCUACCUCAACUAUAUUCAAGCUCGUCAGUAUCAAAGGCACUGCGAUGGUUGAGCCACCGUCUUUCACCCCUGACUUAACAAGCCGCCUACGCUCCCUUUAAACCCAAUAAAUCCGGAUAACGCUUGGAUCCUCCGUAUUACCGCGGCUGCUG